ACUUUCAACAACGGAUCUCUUGGUUCUCGCAUCGAUGAAGAACGUAGCGAAUUGCGAUAAGUAAUGUGAAUUGCAGAUACUCGUGAAUCAUUGAAUUUUUGAACGCACAUUGCGCCCUUGAGCAUUCUCAGGGGCAUGCCUGUCUUGAGCGUCAUUUCCUUCUCAAAAGAUAAUUUAUUAUUUUUUGGUUGUGGGCGAUACUCAGGGUUAGCUUGAAAUUGGAGACUGUUUCAGUCUUUUUUAAUUCAACACUUAGCUUCUUUUGGAGACGCCUGUUCUCGCUGUGAUGUAUUUAUGGAUUUAUUCGUUUUACUUUACAAGGGAAAUGGUAACGUACCUUAGGCAAAGGGUUUGCUUUUAAUAUUCAUCAAGUUUGACCUCAAAUCAGGUAGGAUUACCCGCUGAACUUAAGCAUAUCAAUAAGCGGAGGAAAAGAAACCAACUGGGAUUACCUUAGUAACGGCGAGUGAAGCGGUAAAAGCUCAAAUUUGAAAUCUGGUACUUUCAGUGCCCGAGUUGUAAUUUGUAGACUUUGUCUUUGAUUAGGUCCUGUCUAGUUCCUUGGAACAGGACGUCAUAGAGGGUGAGAAUCCGUUGGCGAGGGAUACCUUUUCUCUGUAAGACUUUUUCGAAGAGUCCGAGUUGUUUGGGAAUGCAGCUCAAAGUGGGUUGGUAAAUUCCAUCUAAAGCUAAAUAUUGGCGAGGAGACCGAUAGCGAACAAGUACAGUGAUGGAACGAUGAAAAGAACUUGAAAAGAGAGUGAAAAAGUACGUGAAAUUGUCGUGAAAGGGAAGGGCCAUUUGAUCAGACAUGGUGUUUUUUGCAUGCACUCGCCUCUCGUGGGCUUGGCCUCUCAAAAUUUCACUGGGCCAACAUCCAUUCUGGCAGCAGGAUAAAUCAUUAAGAAUGUAGCUACUUCGGUAGUGUUAUAGCUUUGGAUACUGUUUAGCCGGAUUGAGGACUGCGCUUCGGCAAGGAUGUUGGCAUAAUGGUUUAAAUGCCGCCCGUCUUGAAACACGGCACCAAGGAGUCUAACGUCUAUGCGAGUGUUGGGGUGUAAACCCGUACGCCGUAAUGAAAGUGACGUAGUUGGGGCCUUCGGUUGCACAAUCGCACCGACCUUGAUGUUUUCGGAUAGGUUUGAGUAAGAGCAUAGCUGUUGGGACCCGAAAGAUGGUGAACUAUGCCUGAAUAGGGUGAAGCCAGAGGAAACUCUGGUGGAGGCUCGCUAGCGGUCUUCUGACGUGCAAAUCGAUCGUCGAAUUUGGUGUAUAGGGGCCGAAAGGACUAAUCGAACCACUAGUAGCUGGUUCCUGCCGAAGUUUCCCUCAGGAUAGCAGAAAACUCGUAUCAGUUUUAUGAGGUAAGCGAAUGAUUAGCCGGUACCGGGGAUGAAAUGUCCUUGACCGAUUCUCAAACUUUAAAUAUGUAAGAAGUCCUUGUUGCUUAAUUGAACGUGGACAUUAUGAAUGAAGAGUUUCUAGUGGGCCAUUUUUGGUAAGCAGAACUGGCGAUGCGGGAUGAACCGAAACGUGGAGUUAAGGUGCCGGAAUGUACGCUCAUCAGACACCACAAAAGGUGUUAGUUCAUCUAGACAGCCGGACGGUGGCCAUGGAAGUCGGAAUCCGCUAAGGAGUGUGUAACAACUCACCGGCCGAAUGAACUAGCCCUGAAAAUGGAUGGCGCUCAAGCGUAUUACCUAUACUCCACCGCCAGGGUUAAUAUGAUGCCCUGGCGAGUAGGCAGGCGUGGAGGUCAGUGACGAAGCCUAGGCAGUGAUGCUGGGGUUGAACGGCCUCUAGUGCAGAUCUUGGUGGUAGUAGCAAAUAUUCAAAUGAGAUCUUUGAAGACUGAAGUGGGGAAAGGUUCCACGUCAACAGCAGUUGGACGUGGGUUAGUCGAUCCUAAGAGAUGGGGAAGCUCCGUUUCAAAUGCUUAAUUUUUUAAGCAACCAUCGAAAGGGAAUCCGGUUAAUAUUCCGGAACUUGGAUGUAGAUUUUACACGGUAACGUAACUGAGUGUGGAGACGUCGGCAUUAGCCCUGGAAAGGAGUGAGUGUUAUCUCUUUCUUUUUAACAGUUUUCACCCUGGAAUU
rnacentral:rRNA from 1 species